UAAUGGCUCACCAAGGCGACGAUCCCUAGCUGGUCUGAGAGGAUGAUCAGCCACACUGGAACUGAGACACGGUCCAGACUCCUACGGGAGGCAGCAGUGGGGAAUAUUGCACAAUGGGCGCAAGCCUGAUGCAGCCAUGCCGCGUGUGUGAAGAAGGCCUUCGGGUUGUAAAGCACUUUCAGUCGUGAGGAAGGUAGUGUAGUUAAUAGCUGCAUUACUUGACGUUAGCGACAGAAGAAGCACCGGCUAACUCCGUGCCAGCAGCCGCGGUAAUACGGAGGGUGCGAGCGUUAAUCGGAAUUACUGGGCGUAAAGCGCAUGCAGGUGGUUUGUUAAGUCAGAUGUGAAAGCCCGGGGCUCAACCUCGGAAUAGCAUUUGAAACUGGCAGACUAGAGUACUGUAGAGGGGGGUAGAAUUUCAGGUGU
rnacentral:rRNA from 3 species